AAAGUUGUUGCAGUUAAAAAGCUCGUAGUUGNAUUUCUGGGAGAGUGCCAAUGUCCGCCGCGUGCGUGUUGCAGCGGCGCUCUUCCAUCCUUCUGUUAACCUUUCUGGUAUUCACUUACUGGUUUGGGGCUCAGAUAUUUUACCUUGAGAAAAUUAGAGUGUUUCAGGCAGGCUUGCGCCCGAAUACAUUAGCAUGGAAUAAUAGAAUAGGACUUUGGUCUCCUUUGUUGGUUUGAGGGACUAGAGUAAUGAUUAAUAGGGACAGUUGGGGGCAUUAGUAUUUAAUUGUCAGAGGUGAAAUUCUCGGAUUUGUUAAAGACUAACCUAUGCGAAAGCAUCUGCCAAGGAUGUUUUCAUUAAUCAAGAACGAAAGUUAGGGGAUCAAAGACGAUCAGAUACCGUCGUAGUCUUAACUAUAAACUAUGCCGACUGGGGAUCGG
rnacentral:rRNA from 1 species